CAAUAAACAAGCAUUAAAUUAUCUAAAAACUGAACCACAAAGUUGUUCAUUACAGUAGGGAUUCCAUUUUGUAAUCCCAAAAAGUUGCAACAAAAUACAAGUUCAACAAUUUUCACAAAAUGAUAGAGCAUCCAUUAUCACCAUCAAAUAUUGAACAUUCCCUUGUCUUAAUACAAAACAUGGCAAUAUCAAAUUUUCAUUGUUGUGCCUUGCCAUUACCCUUUUUUGUCUUAAGUUGAUCCACUCUAAACCCCAACUGCUUUCAAGCUGAACAGGUGCGCUUUCAACCGGUUUAGUCCAAUCUUGCUCUGUCUGAAGCUUGUCCAUUCUGUCGAAGAUCCCAGGGCCUCGAAGCGUCAUCUCUGCAAGAAGAUGUCUGAAAAAUCUUGUUCGAGGAUUAGAUGGAGUAUUCAAAAUGAGACUUUUGACUAUUAAUUCACCNNNNN
rnacentral:lncRNA from 1 species